rnacentral:tRNA from 2 species
GGAGAGAUGGCCGAGUGGCUGAAGGCGCACGCUUGGAAAGCGCGUAUACAUGAAAAUGUAUCAUGGUUCGAAUCCCAUUUUCUCCG